GUUGGGAGGAAGGGCAGUAAGUUAAUACCUUGCUGUUUUGACGUUACCAACAGAAUAAGCACCGGCUAACUUCGUGCCAGCAGCCGCGGUAAUACGGAGGGUGCAAGCGUUAAUCGGAAUUACUGGGCGUAAAGCGCGCGUAGGUGGCUUGAUAGGCCGGUUGUGAAAGCCCCGGGCUCAACCUGGGAACGGCAUCCGGAACUGUCAGGCUAGAGUGCAGGAGAGGAAGGUAGAAUUCCCGGUGUAGCGGUGAAAUGCGUAGAGAUCGGGAGGAAUACCAGUGGCGAAGGCGGCCUUCUGGACUGACACUGACACUGAGGUGCGAAAGCGUGGGUAGCAAACAGGAUUAGAUACCCUGGUAGUCCACGCCGUAAACGAUGUCGACCAGCCGUCGACGCGGCCG
rnacentral:rRNA from 1 species